GAAGCGCCCGCAGGUGCCUGUGCCUGUGUAUCCCGACAAUAAACCAAAUCCUCUUGCUGAUUGCAUCCUGUGGUGUCUCAGUCUGGUCUUUGGAGUUAGAGGGUCUCCAUCCCGAGGGAAAGUUCUCCCUGAGAGCUUUUCAUUUGGUGCAUUGGCCAGGAAAGGAGAUCCUCCACCCAGGGACCACCGACCACCCACUGGGAGGUAAGCCGGCCGGCGUCUGUCUGUCUGUCUGAUUUUGUCUCGUUCUGUCUUAUUCUGUCUGUUCUGUGAGCGCUCAGCCAGGUCUAUUCUGUGAGUGCUCAGCCAGGUCUGUUCUGUGAGUGCUCAGCCAGGUUCUGUGAGCGCUCAGCCAGGUCUGUUCUGUGAGCGCUCAGCCAGGUUGUUUGGAAUUUGGGCGGGACGAAGAAGGAGCUGACGAGCUCGGACUUCUCGCCCCGCAGCCCUGGAAGAUGUUCCAAGGGUGUUAGGGGCCCGACUUUUCGGGGCCCAAUCUGGGAGAGGAGAAAGAUCCGGACUAACGGCACCUCUGUCUGUAUUUUUGGCUUUCAGAGGGCCCCGGACCUUUGCCACCUCCAUCUGACUUUUUGCUUUCAGUUUGGUACCAAAGCCGUGCAGCACGCCUGUCUGUUGUUUGUUUGACUGUUGGUGUUGUUUGUUUUCUCUGUGUUCUAAUCUUCCUUAGAACUAACAUGGGACAGUCCCUAACAACGCCCCUAAGUCUCACUCUUGAUCAUUGGAAAGACGUCCACGACCGGGCACACAACCAGUCCGUCGAGGUUAAAAAAAAAAAAAAGGAAAAGGGCAGACUCUCUACACAUCCGAGU
ensembl:lncRNA